CAGAGACACUGCAGGAGAGGAGAGUGCACAGUUGGAAAGUAAAAUUGAAAUGUGGUAUUAAGGAGAGCAGCACAUUGAGAUUCCUCUGCGACUGGAUAAAAAUGCUUCUCCUUUCCUUUGUAUUACUGAUGAAAACUGGAGAACACAUGCUUAGAGUACCAUCCAUAAGAUGCACUGCAACAGCUUACCCAGGCUCCUUUGGAAACACUUUCCAAAACUGCAACGACCUGGAAGGACAAAGGCAGAAGAUGCAUUGGAAAAACACCAACUGCAGAUUCUCAUUGCAGCUACACACCACCCUGACUUGGGAGGAAUUCUGGAACCCACUUACCAGCAGCACUGUGGGUGUAAAUUGAGUCCAAGAACUGCAGCAUUUCAAAAUGUUUGCUCACCACCAC